rnacentral:rRNA from 1 species
CUCCGGCCGCCACCCCGUGCCCCACCUUCUCCCAUGGCAGCAGUCGCCGCCCCUCCCCCACCAUCUCAUGCCCCCUGGGCCGCUCACCAUCCCGUAUCCUCAGCGUGCCGGCCUCCACGAUCCCCAGCGCGCCAACCUCCAGUUCUUCACCUACCCCAUCGUGACGCCACCCAAUCUUCUUCCUCCUGGAUUCUCCUAGCCAUGGCGAGUGCCUCCUCCCUGCGCCAAGCUCGCUCUAGACUACGCAGAGCCACCAACUCCCACCGCCUCACGUGCAGUACAACCCCACCCAUGUACGAGGUUCAAAGACCUUGCAGAGAGAAGGAAAUGAUAUGUUAAGGUCAGCAGCUUCCUCGUCGCCAUCCCGGUCGUGGCUUUUCUGUGGCACGCCUCCCACUGCUUCUCCUUGCUGGACUAGUCAACCUACAAGAGAUCAACUCAAACAAAAAGUACUCAAGGUGGACUUAAGCUGAACUGGUGAUGGUCUUAGAAACUGCAUGUUUGAAAGUGGCCAAGCUCUGAACAGCAGGAGAAAAAUAAAGAAAGUUCAAGUAAAAUCUCAAAUAAAAAUUAUGUUCAAGUUGAAGCCCAGGAGUAUAUACAUAUGGAGCGGACAUGGCAAUCGAUCUUGUUGAUGAUUAUCAAUAAAUAGAUGGUGAAGUUGGCAAACGGCUGAAUCAGAUGGUGCCUACCCCUAAAAAUUAUCAGUUACAAGUAUCUGCAUUUUGUCGAAAGUUCUUCGGUAUAGCCCCCUCUCCAUCAAAGUAGAAGAGUGAUCGUGGCAUGUGUUCGUUCAAUAAGGGCUUUGGUGACGGUCCGCUGCUGGUGGCCGCCUCACCGUGGUUAAGUUUGGCGUAGUCGCAUGUGUCGCUUUCUGUUGUGGCCGGUCUCCAGGUUAGAAAAAGGUUUCACUUCACUUUGCUAAAGUUCAUCUAGAAUCUUGGAAUCCGAUGUGGUCUGUGGCAAGGUACAUCCAAUGACAACGAGCAGGCGGCAAGUGUACUUAUGCGCAGCGGGACGGUGGCAUGGAGCAGUUGAGUAGGUGUGCGUGGUCAUUCACUGCCUCGACACAAGGCCGUUCGACGAUGCAGCGCUCAAGCCGUUCACCCUUACCACCACAAGCUGUUCACCCUUACCACCGCAAGCCGUUCACCUCCGCCACACGAGGCCGUGCGACGACGCAGUGAUCAGACCGUUCACCUCUGCCAUAGGAGGCCGAUGCAAACACUAAGGAGUUGUGUUCUUUUUCAGUACAUGUUUUUGUGCUUUUUAGUACACCUACUUAACGAUUCUAUGUCCAAUUUUCUCUGUUUACGUGUUCUUCCUAUAGCACAAAAGGUGUUGUGUGUUAAGCCUUAAUAAGCAUUUGAGAAAAUCUUGUAUGGAUCUAAACUAGCAUAUGUUCGUUCUAUUCUUGUAAAUGAAGCUCCACUUCUGUUUUGUUUGAAGUUACUUGGCA